rnacentral:lncRNA from 1 species
UCAGGAUAACUGUUGGAUUGGGCAUGUGGACGCGCAGAAGGUUGUUCUCUAAAUUGGAAGGCGGGUACGGGAAAUCGAAGACGAGAGUUUAGCAAAUGACAUAUCAGUAUGAUCACUAUAACAGCUAGGGUAUAACCGUAGGUAUACGAAGUCAGCGUCCAUCCGUUUCCUCCUCCAUCAAUCUUUUCUCUCCAAAAUUUUGAUACUAACUAGGGUAUAACCGUAGGUAUACGAUGUCAGCGUCCAUCCGUUUCCUCCUCCAUCAAUCUUUUCUCUCCAAAAUUUUGAUACUACUGGUGAGAACCAAAUCGUAAUCGCAGCGCACAUUCUCCAAAUGGAACUGGACAACCUUGUUAUUCCCGU